CCCCUAUGUAGCCUCCAAGUCUACAAACCACAGCUGCAGUCAGUCUCAUCUCAUCUCCAGACAGUCAAGGUAUGGAAAUUGGCCAUCGGUAUCAGAGCUGAGCUGGCUGCUUUUGUGAGUCUGGUCUUAUUUUUGAUUUCAAGAAUGUAUGUCUCUCAUUCUCUUGACAGCAGAGGAUAGGCUGUCUUCGUACCCCACAGAAUACCUACUACAGGGCCUGCUGCAUAGAAGAUCUUCAAUAAAUAUGUGUUUCUGCUGUCUAUAAAGUUAAUGAACCACAACAUAAGGAAGAAAAGAAGUGGACUAUACUGGUUGGUGCAGCCUUCCCCAAGCACUCACCCACACACUGCCUUCACUGCUCCGACCAGUCACUGCACAGAGCUCUUCUUGGUGGAUGAGAUGCAACUUACGUAAUGAGAAUGGAGGCGUUUCAGGCAAUGUGACAGAGACAUGUGCAGAUGAAGAAGGAUUUUCAGCCCCUCUGCGGGAAACUGGAAUUGGCAAAUGGUUACUCAGUAAGUGAAGAGAACUGACUUCAUCAUCCUCAGCAAAGUUUCCAGUGCUACAAGAAUUCAAGCCUUACAGCUCUGCUCCUACAAUUGUCAGAGGCCUCUUGGGGAUGGCAAGUACAAAGGAGACUGAAGAAAGACAUAUUCCAGUCACCCCCAAGUUCAUUUCCACUUCAGGCUGAGAGCCUGCUGGCCAAGGGGAAGCUCUGUCUCUUUCAAUUUGGUUUGAAUUGAGACCAUCCAUCCUGGCCUUCUGCUUAGCUGCCCCGAAAGGCAGGCAGUUGAUGAAUGGAGCGUACUACAAAAGAAAGCCGGCGGGCACACAUGGGUCUGGUGACGCUUCUGUCAGGGCGGCUCAAAGGGAAGGCUGCACCACAUGGAUAUCUUUCUGGUUCAGAAAGGGUUAAAUCACUGGUUUUGGCCUUAAUCCAACUCAGAACCUCAACAAAAUGAGAACGUGCGUACAAAGAAAGCGGUGGAUAUGUGCCGGAUGCAUUAGAUCGCAGGCCUAAAGAACAUCUGCCUCCUCUUCCUACCACCUUCCCCACUGUCCUGCGGUGGUGAGAACCCAUGGAGUGGAGCCUCUAGCCCUUUGGUGUGGAGACAAAGACAGUGAAUGAAAUUCCAGGGACUUGAGUUCUGCUUCCAGUUCUGCUGCCAUUGCAAGAAGUCAGGUAGGCAAUUCCAUUUUCUGAGUCUCAGUUUCCUUGUUUCUUAAACAAGGGGCUUGGAGGACA
rnacentral:lncRNA from 1 species